ACCCAGACUCCUACGGGAGGCAGCAGUGGGGAAUAUUGCACAAUGGGGGGAACCCUGAUGCAGCGACGCCGCGUGGGUGAAGGAGCACCUCGGUGCGUAAAGCCCUAUCGGCAGGGAAGAAACAGACGGUACCUGACUAAGAAGCCCCGGCUAACUACGUGCCAGCAGCCGCGGUAAUACGUAGGGGGCAAGCGUUAUCCGGAUUCACUGGGUGUAAAGGGAGCGUAGACGGCGAGGUAAGCCUGAAGUGGAAGCCCGCGGCCCAACCGCGGAACCGCUUUGGAAACUGCGAGGCUGGAGUGCUGGAGAGGUAAGCGGAAUUCCUGGUGUAGCGGUGAAAUGCGUAGAUAUCAGGAGGAACACCGGUGGCGAAGGCGGCUUACUGGACAGUGACUGACGUUGAGGCUCGAAAGCGUGGGUAGCAAACAGGAUUAGAUACCCCUGUA
rnacentral:rRNA from 1 species